GCUCGGGUGGCGGAAUUGGUAGACGCGCAGGGUUCAGGACCCUGUGAGGGUUAGACCUCGUGAGGGUUCGAGUCCCUCCUCGAGCA
rnacentral:tRNA from 1 species